rnacentral:lncRNA from 1 species
UCAACACACACAGACAGAUAGACAGUACUUUGUGCCUUAGUGUCAUUAUCCAUUUCAGAUGGUGAAGAAGAAGGAGGAAGAAAACAUGCCGCUACAGAGAAGUGCAAGUGUGCGGAUUGCAGAGAAGACCUUUGAAUCCAAUAAGAGCUCCAAACAAGAGGAGGAGCAGCAGACUCCGUUUCAGAGAAACUCCCGACAGAGGUUAUCAUCUCGCUCCAUUCAGGAGAAAAUGGAACGACUGGCUCAAGCCUCACAGAAAUGGGAAAUAUCCAAAUCCCCAGUGGUGCACCAGACUGUGUGUUUAGCGGAUGAGGUGUCAAGGAAGAGGGAGCUGUUUGAGAAAGAACAGGAGGGAUCCGACAGAAGCCAUGUGCUCUCCAAACAGGAAUUUCGCAGCUUUUCUUCGGGACUCUCUGAUCGAAUUAAUCGCUGGGUUCAAAAGAAAACAUUUACUGUGUCAUCAUCUUCAUCAUCAUCAUCACCAUCUCAUAGUCCUUUGGAUCUGAGACUUGUGAGCAUCUCCAGUAAGAAAAGUUUGUUUGAGAGAGGACAAGACCAGGACAACAAGUGACAAUCUCAUGGAUAGAGACAAAGUUUAAUGAGAGUCAUUUGAUCGUGUAUCUCUGCAGAUUCUGAAGAUUUUGAAGGAAGCUUGAUCGACUCUUUCAGACAGUCAGUGCCAAGGAUUGUCUCUAAACUCCUUUUCCUUCUGCUUCUUUACGUUGGCUAAUUCCUCAGCACUUUUAAGGCAUAGUACUGAUCUACAUUAUUUGGGUAAAUUCAAGGUUUAUUGUUAUUGGUUGUGAAUGUGUGUACUAAUGGAUUGUAGAAUGCAACAGGACUGUAUUAUAGGGUCUUUACACAGAAUUGAACAUCACAGUGUUUAUCUGACAGCAGGAAUACAGACAUACAGCUUCUUUGUGUUGGUGCCAGACACUCCUCUUCCUUGUAGCUUGACAUGUGUGCUGUUUAUAAGUAAGUUAUUAGGAGAAAGAGGCAUAAUGUAUGACCUGAGCCAUAACUCAUAACAGUCCAAGGUACAACUGCAAAAUCAUGAAUGUCUGUUUCAAUGAACCUUCUGGAAAUAAGCUCAAUGAUUCCUUUUUAAUGAAGCUGGAAUCGUGCGCUGAAGCUGACCUAUGCUCUCGCUGCUGUUGUUUUAACCUGCCGGAGACUUAAGUCUUAAUAAGGAAAUGUAAUUUAGACGUAAUCUAUGGAGAAAUGUGCCCUAUCAAACCCUUUGCAAACUAACUUCAAUCCAUUCCAAUUCAACCAAGCUUACGUUUCCUUUUUUGCUAACCGACCUGUCAUGUAAUGAUCUUUUCUGCCCAGAAGGGUUAUGCUGUAGAUUAAUUAAAAAAAA